CUUUCCAGUCUAAGUGAAAGUCACUGUCGGCUCGAGAGAAGGCAUUCGUCAUCUUUUCUUUAACACAAAUUUCUUUGAAAGCGAAGCAAAAUUUCUAGAUCUUUGUGGUCAGCUUCAUACAAUUUGUGCCGAGAACAGAUAUGCCGAAGUCAUCCUCGAAAGUGUUUGGGACACUUAUUUUGACGAUCUCUCUCAUUUCACUGCAAGGGACUUCUUCGCAUCUUCAGCAGGGUAUUGGAAACAUUCGAAAGCUUUUGGAAGCAGAUUCAGAUGAAAAUCAACAACAGAAUUGUUCUUCUGUGCAUGGCAUAAAUAUUUCAUACCGCUGCCAGUUUGUCAAGUCACGUCCAAGUCAUAAUGAAACAUCCCUGAUA